CGUGCCUAAUACAUGCAAGUCGAGCGGAUCUUCAUUAGCUUGCUUUUGAAGAUCAGCGGCGGACGGGUGAGUAACACGUGGGCAACCUGCCUGUAAGACUGGGAUAACUUCGGGAAACCGGAGCUAAUACCGGAUAAUCCUUUCCCUCACAUGAAGGAAAGCUGAAAGACGGCAUCUCGCUGUCACUUACAGAUGGGCCCGCGGCGCAUUAGCUAGUUGGUGAGGUAACGGCUCACCAAGGCAACGAUGCGUAGCCGACCUGAGAGGGUGAUCGGCCACACUGGGACUGAGACACGGCCCAGACUCCUACGGGAGGCAGCAGUAGGGAAUCUUCCGCAAUGGACGAAAGUCUGACGGAGCAACGCCGCGUGAACGAUGAAGGCCUUCGGGUCGUAAAGUUCUGUUGUCACGGAAGAACAAGUACCGGAGUAACUGCCGGUACCUUGACGGUACCUGACCAGAAAGCCACGGCUAACUACGUGCCAGCAGCCGCGGUAAUACGUAGGUGGCAAGCGUUGUCCGGAAUUAUUGGGCGUAAAGCGCGCGCAGGCGGUUCCUUAAGUCUGAUGUGAAAGCCCCCGGCUCAACCGGGGAGGGUCAUUGGAAACUGGGGAACUUGAGUGCAGAAGAGGAGAGCCGAAUUCCACGUGUAGCGGUGAAAUGCGUAGAGAUGUGGAGGAACACCAGUGGCGAAGCGGCUCUCUGGUCUGUAACUGACGCUGA
rnacentral:rRNA from 1 species